CUUCCUGAUGCUUACCACAGACUGUGUUCUUACACUAACUGUACAGAGGGAAGAGG
rnacentral:snoRNA from 1 species